AUGCUACUGCUCUGCAGUGCUGCUCCAACACGUGUUCACCUGACCCCCUCCGGCUGGGGAGGCUGCUGGGGCAGAAAUAAGGAAAAAACUGGAAACCAUGUGCGAGCUGAGUGGGAUAAAGGGGCAGAAGUUGAGAUUGCAACGGCCCCAGUCCUUCCUGUUUCUCCAAGCCUGCUUGCAAUGCAUUUCCUUGCAAGUGAAGCAGUGUUCCCAGAGCUGGAACGCGUUUUCAUCCUGUCCGAUGCUGCUGCCCAUGCUGGUAACCUGCUGGCCUCACCAUGUGUUGGACCAUACCUGGACAGUGAUUUGGGCAGAACUCUGGAGGAAGGACGAUUGAAACACCCCAGCAGAAGAAAUGUGAGACUCCUGGAUUGCAGCAGCAAGCAAUUCCAGGUGGUUCAGGUUAGCCUGAGUGUCCUGGCGGUUUGCAGAUGUCUCUGA
rnacentral:lncRNA from 1 species